rnacentral:rRNA from 1 species
UACGGAGGGUGCAAGCGUUAUCCGGAUUCACUGGGUUUAAAGGGUGCGUAGGUGGGCAGGUAAGUCAGUGGUGAAAUCUCCGGGCUUAACUCGGAAACUGCCAUUGAUACUAUCUUUCUUGAAUACCGUGGAGGUCAGCGGAAUAUGUCAUGUAGCGGUGAAAUGCUUAGAUAUGACAUAGAACACCAAUUGCGAAUGCAGCUGGCUACACGAAUAUUGACACUGAUGCACGAAAGCGUGGGGAUCAAACAGG